UGAGGAAGAUAAUGACGGUACUCAACAAGGAAGUGACGGCUAACUACGUGCCAGCAGCCGCGGUAAAACGUAGGUCACAAGCGUUGUCCGGAAUUACUGGGUGUAAAGGGAGCGCAGGCGGGAAGGCAAGUUGGAAGUGAAAUCCAUGGGCUCAACCCAUGAACUGCUUUCAAAACUGUUUUUCUUGAGUAGUGCAGAGGUAGGCGGAAUUCCCGGUGUAGCGGUGGAAUGCGUAGAUAUCGGGAGGAACACCAGUGGCGAAGGCGGCCUACUGGGCACCAACUGACGCUGAGGCUCGAAAGUGUGGGUAGCAAACAGGAUUAGAUACCCUGGUAGUCCACACUGUAAACGAUGAUUACUAGGUGUUGGAGGAUUGACCCCUUCAGUGCCGCAGUUAACACAAUAAGUAAUCCACCUGGGGAGUACGACCGCAAGGUUGAAACUCAAAGGAAUUGACGGGGGCCCGCACAAGCAGUGGAGUAUGUGGUUUAAUUCGACGCAACGCGAAGAACCUUACCAAGUCUUGACAUCCUGCGACGCACAUAGAAAUAUGUGUUUCCUUCGGGACGCAGAGACAGGUGGUGCAUGGUUGUCGUCAGCUCGUGUCGUGAGAUGUUGGGUUAAGUCCCGCAACGAGCGCAACCCUUAUGGUCAGUUACUACGCAAGAGGACUCUGGCCAGACUGCGGUUGACA
rnacentral:rRNA from 1 species